GCCAGGCCUCCCUUCCGCACGAGACCCCUGAUCCCUGCGCCCCUCCCCCUGACCGCGCAGACCUGCAGGCUGCAGCGUCCAGCCUAGCGCCGCCGCCAGCCUUGCUCGCCGCGCCUCCUGAUGCUGCAGUCGCAGCCCUUCUCGCGCACGCACAACACCGCGCCGCCUCGUCUCUCUCCCUCAUGCAGCACUGCGGCCAGUUUCCGCCGGAGCAGACCAAGCCGCCGUCGAUCCAGUGCCUUCCUCGCGCGAUUGGAGCGAUCGGCCGACGCCCCACCGCCGGCCUCUUGGCGUGCGUGCUACGCACGGCACCCAAGCCCAGGACACCAUCGCCAGUUCUUCCCGGCGAGAACAUCAGAACAGAUCGCGGUUGCUACGGUCCGGCUGCUAGUUCGACUGCAUCCUCGCCAAAAGCGAAAGCAAGGUUCUAUCCGCCGGCCAUGGAGGAGCGCAAGAUUUUCAAUCUAUUCCUUAAAAUCUUCAGCUAAUUAAAGGAGUGCAGUUCGAGAGCUAUGAAGAUGAAGAAUUGCAAGAAUAAGAGUUGAAGACUCUGAUCAGUUAUUAUCUGGUUUUAAGACAAGUAUAUUUCUUGAUCAUACUUUGUCCUAAUAACAUUUAUUUUAUGCUCGCAUGCAUUAAUUUUGAUGGGUACCUAUUAUCCUAUUUGAUUAUCCAUGUCCUUAAAUAGUCGGGUUUACAACAAUAUUACUUGAGACAUGAGACAUUGGUAUAUCUUUUGGAACAAUUUGAUGAAUGCUUGAACCUGAUUAAAAUCAACCAUGGAGCGACCACCCGGCAAAUAAAAUAGCGCAACCACAAGAACUACAUGGCUCUGAUCUUGGCUGAUUAAUUAGAUGUCUCUAGCUUGUUAGUAGCUUACCGAAAGGCGCAAGAUGGGGGACCUAGGUUUAAGAGUGGUACGCUGCCUGCCAAGGGUGUACACAUUUGUUUGGUUUUUGUCAUGCCUUGAGGGAGGUACACUCGCCUAGCUGCUGAAACCUUAGUGGGCUACUACUUGUUAGAGAGCUUUGUAAAGGCCUCGUAGCGUCUUUAUGCAAUUACACCUAAGGAAGUGUGGUAUUGUGCCUAGCUAGCACAGCAUGAUUGGGUCCAGAGUUCUUUUAAACUUUUACGCGACUUGUGGGUAAAGUGUGCAACCUCUGCAGUGUGAAAACUGAUAUAUCAGCCGUGCUCACGGUCAAGAGUGGCUCAGACCCUCACAUGUCUACUUAAUGGAAAUCAUUGAUUAAUUCAGUUAUUUAUUGUUCCAAGUUAAUUGUUUAUUCAGACAUACACUUCUUUUCAUAAAUGUGGGAUGGUUUCAUACAUGAUUUAGUAAAUAGGCUGUUAAUGUUCAACUAUUAUUUAAAAUGCUUACGGCUUUAUUCAGCCAACCUUAAUUCCUUGCUUUAAGCCUUGCAUGUCAUUUAUUUCUAAUAUAAUUGCUGAGUACGAUAUGUGCUCACCCUUGCUAUACCAACACUGCUCAGAGAAGAAAGUUGCAAUGAAGCUGAAGAUGUUGCUGAAUUCUAGGCGUACACAACUCUCGGUCGAUUGCCUGUGAAGUGUGUAGCAUUCGUUUCCAUAAGAAGCUAUAGAUCUCUGAUAAUCAUUUAGUGUUGUAAGUCUCUUUUACGUGACAUUGUUACUCAUUAUUCCAUUAUAAUGUCACUAUAUGUAUGGAACUAGAUCCUGGCAUACAUAUUGUUAUGCAUUCGGUUUUCUUUUAAAAA